rnacentral:rRNA from 1 species
GACGAACGCUGGCGGCGUGCCCAAUACAUGCAAGUCGAACGGAAAGACGCUGCGCUUGCUCCUUUCACGAUUGGCGCGGGCGGGGGUAAAACACGUGGAUAACCCACCUAUCAUACUGGUAAAACUUCGAGAAACCGGCGCUUAUCCCGGAUAAUCUAUUGCAGCGCGUUGUUUCAUAGAGAAAUACGGCUUUUCGGUAUCUUAUCGAUGGAUCCGCGCCGCAUUAGCUAGUUGGUAAGGUAACGGCUUACCAAGGCAAGGAUGCGUAACCGACCUGAGAGGGUGAUCGGCCACACUGGAACUGAGACACGGUCCAGACUCCUACGGGAGGCAGCAGUAGGGAAUCUUCCGCAAUGGGCGAAAGCCUGACGGAGCAACGCCGCGUGAGUGAUGAAGGUCUUCGGAUCGUAAAACUCUGUUAUUAGGGAAGAACAAAUGUGUAAGUAACUAUGCACGUCUUGACGGUACCGAAUCAGAAAGCCACGGCUAACUACGUG